CUGAGCUGUCAGCACAGAACCCAACUUGGGGCUUGAAACCACGAACUGUGACAUCAUGACCUGAGCCGAGGCCGGACACUUAGCUAAUUGAGCCACCCAGGCACCCCUCCUGUCUAAAUUUAAAUAGGAGAAUCCUAAGCUACUCCCACUCGUAGUAUGGCAAGUACAACACCUGAACUGUUUUGAUCUGUAUUUUGGGACCAAACGCUAUGUUCUGUGCUCAGGUGUAUCAAGUAUGUGUUCUGGAUUGGACUGAAGACUACGAAGCCAUGUAAAAGUAUUUGUGGAAGGUUCCGUAAGAGGAUCUUGGGAGAUUUUGCUAAGGUGCCUCUCUUCAAGGGCACUCCAAGAUGUAAUAAUAAUGUGGUCCAUGUUAAUGCCACUCAUAUGGACAUCCUCUCUUGCCAAAUUUCGACUCUCGCCUGUGCAUUUAUAGGUGAGUAGUCUGAAAGUUGAAGCUCUAAUGUUCAUUUCAUGGAGAUGAAAGGCAAAUAAGUUUCCCUUAACCGGGUGUCAAAAGAUGCACACAACAGCACAGAUUCUGCAUGUGGACCACAUCCAUAGCACACGUGGCCUUUGUUCUCAACAGUUCUCAAGACUACUGUGCAAUUUAGCAACUUUGUGUGUGUGUGUGUGUGUGUGUGUGUGCGUGUGUAUUUUAUCUUUUCUAGGAUGUGAAAAUCCUUUAGAGGGAGAAGCUUCAACUUGUAUAUUCAUUUCCCUUGCAGAAAUGAGGACCUAAUAGGCAUUCAAAAAAUAAUUCAGACUAAAUAUACUUUUUUUUUUAAAUAACGGUUUUUAUCCUUUGGUGUAUCAUGGAUGCCUUUGAAAAUCUGAUUAAAUGCACAUACUCAACACCUGUAUUCCCAACAGAAUUCCACUUGGGAGGCUGGACAAACUCCUCGCAAGCUGAGAAACUGCUCCGAAAGCUGGCACUUGGGAGAUGUUCCCUCCCCUCCAUCCUUACUGUCAGGAUGCGAACACACGCUCCGUAUUUCAUACUGGACUAUUACUUCACACCUCCCCACUCAGUCUACUUGCCUCUUCUCUCGCCUCCGAAUUACUACCAGAGUCCUCUAACACCCUGAUCAAAACCACCUUUUCCACUGCUCAGACUCAUUACAAUAAACAGACCCUUCAGGACAGAGGCUAA